GACGAACCGUGCGAACGUUAUUCGGAAUCACUGGGCUUAAAGCGCGUGUAGGCGGGCCGGCACGUCGGUCGCUGAAAUCCCCCGGCUCCAACCGGGGAAGGGGCGCCGGAGUACGACCGGCCUGGAGGGACGUAGGGGGGGGCUGGAACUUCCGGUGGAGCGGUGAAAUGCGUUGAGAUCGGAAGGAACGCCCGUGGCGAAAGCGAGCCCCUGGACGUCUACUGACGCUGAGACGCGAAAGCCAGGGGAGCGAACGGG
rnacentral:rRNA from 1 species